AAGGAAUAUUGGUCAAUGGACGCAAGUCUGAACUAGCCAUGCCGCGUGAAGGAUGAAGGUCCUCUGGAUUGUAAACUUCUUUUAUCUGGGACGAAAACGGGAUUUUUAUCUCAAUUGACGGUACCAGAGGAAUAAGCACCGGCUAACUCCGUGCCAGCAGCCGCGGUAAUACGGAGGGUGCGAGCGUUAUCCGGAUUUACUGGGUUUAAAGGGUGCGUAGGUGGGCUUAUAAGUCAGUGGUGAAAUCUCCGAGCUUAACUUGGAAACUGCCGUUGAUACUAUAGGUCUUGAAUUAUCUGGAGGUAAGCGGAAUAUGUCAUGUAGCGGUGAAAUGCUUAGAUAUGACAUAGAACACCAAUUGCGAAGGCAGCUUACUACAUAUAAAUUGACGCUGAGGCACGAAAGCGUGGGG
rnacentral:rRNA from 1 species